GGUCAUGAGCGCCAGCGACAAGCCCCGGCUUGCUGGCCGGCAACCCUCCAACCGCGGUGGGGUGCCCCGGGUGAUGACCAGGUUGAGCGGCCGCUAGCGAGCGGUCGCCGGCAAGCGCGGGUC
rnacentral:ncRNA from 2 species